rnacentral:rRNA from 1 species
AUGAGCAGAGAGGAGCAACUGGAGGCAUUGCUCUGCUUGGACCCAUUGACGGUGCCGGAAAAUAUCCGAAAGACAGUAGAAGAGAGGAACAAACUCUGUAUCCUAAUCUUGGACAAGUACCCGCACAUGAUCCGGCACGUCGGUCGUCUUCCUGACGAACCUUGCUUAGCAUCGCGCGCACUCUUUAUAUUAUGGUCUACGGUGGCUUCGGGGAUCCUCCUCCUUCAAAAUAAUGUGGGCCGGAAGGGAAGUACAGAAGAGACUGAUCCAUCAAUCAUACAUGAUGACACUACUGCAAAGAGUUGA